GACGAACGCUGGCGGCGUGCUUAACACAUGCAAGUCGAACGGAAAGGCCCUGCUUGCAGGGUACUCGAGUGGCGAACGGGUGAGUAACACGUGGGUGAUCUGCCCUGCACUUCGGGAUAAGCUUGGGAAACUGGGUCUAAUACCGGAUAGGAGCCAUCUUUAGUGUGGUGGUUGGAAAGUUUUUUCGGUGUAGGAUGAGCUCGCGGCCUAUCAGCUUGUUGGUGGGGUAAUGGCCUACCAAGGCGGCGACGGGUAGCCGGCCUGAGAGGGUGUACGGCCACAUUGGGACUGAGAUACGGCCCAGACUCCUACGGGAGGCAGCAGGGGGGAAUAUUGCACAAUGGGCGCAAGCCUGAUGCAGCGACGCCGCGUGGGGGAUGAAGGCCUUCGGGUUGUAAACUCCUUUCGCUAGGGACGAAGCUUUUUUGUGACGGUACCUAGAUAAGAAGCACCGGCUAACUACGUG
rnacentral:rRNA from 1 species